GGAUCGUCGCCCUCUGGGGACCCCAUCCAAGCAACCCACCCCCCCCCAAAAAAAAGACGUCAGGACUGUCCGCAGGGAUCCGCAUCCCUCGGAGCGCAUCACCCCCGCCCAUGUACAUCUGCCAAAAUGCGUUGCGAAAGCAAGCUGACAAAACAGCCUCUUUCUAAACCUGGAUGACCUCUGUGCGAAGCAGGCAGCACGUUUGCUGGAAGGGCAUUUGAUGCACAGUGCAGGAAAGCCACCCUGCCGGUGGGAACGUGGCAGAUCUGCCGGGAGAAAAGUCUCCUCAAUUCAGCAGAUACUCAUUUUCCAGAAGGAUGUGAUCUUCUCUCAGGCAUAUUUUUAUUUCUCCUAUAAGACCUGGAUGCUUACGUGAGCUUAUUUGAUAAACCACAUUCCUGACUGCAGAUUAUUUCCCUAGCUAAGAAGAGUUAUAAUGACUCACUCAGUUAUUCAACAAAGAGACCUGACCAGGCUGAACUGUGCCAUGCCUUCGGUUUGCCGUUGCUGACAGACCCGAGGAGCCCUUUAAACUCCCAUGUGCCCCAUAAGCCAGAGUUCUGUGGGUGACUGAGCGGAGACAGAUGGCUGCUGCCGCCUCCCCCUGGCUUCUGCUGGGCAGCCAUGAGCCCAUGAUGCGCGCUUCUUGGCUGACAUUCCAUAAGCAAUGCUUGCUAAACCUGCACAGAUCUCAGGAAGAGUUCCAGAACAAUAAAAAUUAUAUCACAGGGCUUCACUGUGAGUUAAGCCCAUCUUGCAGGAUGACCCUGCACCCAUCAGGCUGCAUUUCAACUGUCACACACUUGUGCAUCAUGAUUAAGUGAAUGAGUUUUGCCAAAACAAUUCCACAGGCUAUGAUAUAUAAUUUUAAUUUACUUUUUCACAAUUGAGAUGGACAUCCAGAAUUAUGCAAUAUGCAGCAAAAUGAAAUUUUCCUAAGUAUAGCAACAGUGCCUGCUGUGCGUUUGCUCAGCCUGCCCAACAACGUCUAACAGAUCGUCAGCCACUAGUGAUGCAGCAGGGGAUGGUUUUUCUGUUUAUUUGUAUUUAUUUACAGAGUAUCCCAAUGGUAAUGAUAUAAAUCACUUGCAGGGAAAGGUAAUAUUAGUAAUGUAUUUCUAAAUAUCUUUCAAAUUGUUUUAGCAGGAAAAAAAGCUGGCACAAUAUGAAAAAUAACUGACUGCGCAUUGCAAGAGUUUAAGAACCAGGGAUCUAAUGUUUGGUACAAGAAACUUUGUAUCUGAAAUCCUGUAUCCUAAUGAUGAAUUUGUCAUUUGGUCUGAUGCCAAUCACUUUGGGUGUGGUUGUCUUUAUUUGUUGAAUGUGUUGGUGAUGUUCAGCUCUCUUAACUGUUGCUGUACACAGCCUUAAGAAUGUAAAAUGACAUAUAGUUGCCAAAUACUAUUAAAGACAUAUUGGAUCUGUUUCUACAAGUAUUGUGUUAUGUUUUAUAGGCAGUACUCUGAAGUAGAGUGAAGUGGAGUAUGUGUAUUACUUUUUUGGUUGCAGAUCUCACUCAUCCAUUUUGCAAAGAUGGCCAAGGCCAUUCAGGCACCACUGUAUAGAUGAAAAAGUGCAAGGAAGAUGAAGCCCAACUUUUCAAAACUGCCACCUAAUUUUCUGUCUUGAAGUUUGGCAGUUCAUUUUUAGCUGCUUAGCAGUGAGCACUGACACCGGUUAGAGCUGCUCUCCUUGAACUUUGUUAAAAAUAAACAAAUUCAUGUCUAAGUCUGGACUCCUCCCCCCCAAAACAGAAAUUUGUGGACUUUAAAAACAGGUCCUAAAUCUCAUAAUGAGCUGAUGACACUCAAAGAUACGCCUCCAGUCUGUAUCCUAAGUGUGUGCUCAGUCCACCCAUCAAACUGUCCUAACAAUGAACUCUCGAGCGAAGACCACUGUGAAUACCAUUCUCCUGCUGCAUAAUCCAUGAUAAAGAUUUCUCUAUUUAAUACAUAAUAUCAGGGUUUAUUAAUCUGUGUUAUUUUUAGUUGGAGAAAAGUGCAAAUUUAUAUAUUUAAUGUGCUGAAAUAGGGUGGUUAGCACCAUAUUGCAUCUUCACCCCUUACUAGUUUAUUUCCUUACUGAACAGUACGUCUAGAAAAAAAAAAA